GGGGAUGUUUGGUUUCGACAAGUUGUACGUUUAAAAUAUGCAAGCUAAGUCUGGCGCAUACUUAUAAAUCCUGCGCCAAAUCAAUAAGUGCAAACUUAUUUUCAAAAGCAAAAACUGCGAUUGCGCAAGCUUUCUCAGCUAACUUUGCCUACGCUUUGGCUUAAUUGCCGAAGCCAUCGAACUAUCCACUCCUAAUAGAUAGAGCUCGGUGUUAUACAUUAGGAUAGCCAAAAUUGCAUUUUCUAGGCGACUUUGGUAAAAUUACACUAGAAAAAAGGUUGGGAUAUUUUGUUAGUUCAUAACUCCCAACCUAAACAAACUAACUAAGCUUGUAGAAGAUUUUAAAUGAAUAGCUUUGGACAUGGGUUCAAUUCCCAUCAUCUCCACAG
rfam:Parcubacteria (Moranbacteria) bacterium GW2011_GWF2_35_39 TR78_C0021, whole genome shotgun sequence.